rnacentral:lncRNA from 1 species
CUGUGCUCCUCCAUGCCAAGCACAUUAGGGGAUAAUUAAGUAAAAAUAGGCAUUCCGACCAGUGUAGCUCAUUAAGGCCUAAUUAAGUUAAUUAGUUCCAGGUGUGGAUGGCGAGGCUCAAGUGAGGCGGCGGCUGUUGUUUGCUGUAAUUGCAUUUUCGCAGCAGCAGUGAUGGUGACAGUAAUGGUGUGGCAGAGACAGCGGCUUUCUCUAUGCUAACUUUUCUAUUUUAUUUUUCAGAGACAGGGUCUAACUGUGUUGCCCAGGCUGGAGUGCAGUGGCAUGAUCAUGGUUCCCUGCAGCCUUGACCUCCUGGGCUCAAGCGAUCCUCCCACCUUAGCCUCCCAAAUAGCUGGGACUACAGGCAUACGCAUGUCACCAUGCCCAGCUAAUUUUAAAAAAUUUUUUGUAGAGAUGGGGGUCUUGCCAUGUUGCCUAGGCUGGCCUCAAACUCCUGGGCUCAAACAGUCUUCCUACCUUGCCUCAAACUCCUGGACUCAACAGUCCUCCUACCUUGGCUUCCCAAAGUGCUGGGAUUACAGGUAUGAGCCAUCACACCUGGCCACAUGCUAAUUGCUUAGUAACUGGUUCCUAACCCAUAGUAAGGAUGAAUAGCUGCAGAGGUGGACGCUGUGCUCCUUCUGGCUUGGGCUGCCCAGUCAUACAGUCUUGUACCACUGGUACAUCAAUGG